GAUGAACGCUGGCGGCGUGCCUAAUACAUGCCAGUCGAGCGAACAGACGAGGAGCUUGCUCCUCUGACGUUAGCGGCGGACGGGUGAGUAACACGUGGAUAACCUACCUAUAAGACUGGGAUAACUUCGGGAAACCGGAGCUAAUACCGGAUAAUAUAUUGAACCGCAUGGUUCAAUAGUGAAAGACGGUUUUGCUGUCACUUAUAGAUGGAUCCGCGCCGCAUUAGCUAGUUGGUAAGGUAACGGCUUACCAAGGCAACGAUGCGUAGCCGACCUGAGAGAGUGAUCGGCCACACUGGAACUGAGACACGGUCCAGACUCCUACGGGAGGCAGCAGUAGGGAAUCUUCCGCAAUGGGCGAAAGCCUGACGGAGCAACGCCGCGUGAGUGAUGAAGGUCUUCGGAUCGUAAAACUCUGUUAUUAGGGAAGAACAAAUGUGUAAGUAACUAUGCACGUCUUGACGGUACCUAAUCAGAAAGCCACGGCUAACUACGUG
rnacentral:rRNA from 1 species